rnacentral:rRNA from 1 species
GACGAACGCUGGCGGCGUGCUUAACACAUGCAAGUCGAACGGUAAGGCCCUUCGGGGUACACGAGUGGCGAACGGGUGAGUAACACGUGGGUGAUCUGCCCUGCACUUUGGGAUAAGCCUGGGAAACUGGGUCUAAUACCGAAUACUCCUCACUGGCUGCAUGGCCUGGUGGGGGAAAGCUUUUGCGGUGUGGGAUGGGCCCGCGGCCUAUCAGCUUGUUGGUGGGGUGAUGGCCUACCAAGGCGACGAC